AAAGCGUGGUGGUGUAACGACAUUGAGAAAAGGGGAAGCAAGUGGACGAAGGCGAAGAUAGAGCAGAGUGGGGCGGAGAUAACAGGAGUGGUGCAAGAUGGGAUGGCGGCCACGAAAAGUUGGAAGGAUGGCAGAGAUGGCUGCAAGGUGGGAGGAGAUAGGACAGCGACGGAAGAGAGGGGAGGCGGAGAUGGAAGUUGGGUGGUUUGCUGCGAUUAAGAGGGGCGGAAGUUGUAGGCAGAAAAGGGGCGGCUGCAAGAUUGGGGCUUGGUCACAGGUAAGAAAGAAGAGGGUAGUCGUAGCUGGUGUGAGGUGGUGACGAGAGAAGAAGGGAGGAGAACAGGGGGCGUAACUGAGGAGGAAAUGGAGUGGUUAGUUGCACGUGAUGAUUGGAUACUAGUUGUUGCAGCGAAGAGAGUAGGGAAAGAGAGCUAGGAAGAUGUGGCGAGGAUUAAGGAGAGGUAAAGAUGGGGAGAGAUGGGUGCAGGGAGUUGGAAAGUGGUGGCUGGAAACAGAGUGGUGGCAGCGAAGGUGAAGGAGGAGGCAUGAACGUUGGGUUUUUUUUUUUUUUAAGAGAGAGAAGGCAGCGAAUGAAUGGGAAAGAGUGGCUCAGUGGGAGAAUGGUGGAGCAACGGUGAUGGGCGUUGUCGCGCGCGGCAAUGGGGUUGGUUCACGCGCGGCAGUAGGUGUGAAGUUCGGAGUUCACACGAGGCGAUGGGGGUUGUUUCACGCACGC
rnacentral:lncRNA from 1 species